AGUCGAGCAGCGGAACUAACAGAUUUACUUCGGUAAUGACGUUAGGAAAGCGAGCGGCGGAUGGGUGAGUAACACGUGGGGAACCUGCCCCAUAGUCUGGGAUACCACUUGGAAACAGGUGCUAAUACCGGAUAAGAAAGCAGAUCGCAUGAUCAGCUUUUAAAAGGCGGCGUAAGCUGUCGCUAUGGGAUGGCCCCGCGGUGCAUUAGCUAGUUGGUAAGGUAAAGGCUUACCAAGGCGAUGAUGCAUAGCCGAGUUGAGAGACUGAUCGGCCACAUUGGGACUGAGACACGGCCCAAACUCCUACGGGAGGCAGCAGUAGGGAAUCUUCCACAAUGGACGCAAGUCUGAUGGAGCAACGCCGCGUGAGUGAAGAAGGUUUUCGGAUCGUAAAGCUCUGUUGUUGGUGAAGAAGGAUAGAGGUAGUAACUGGCCUUUAUUUGACGGUAAUCAACCAGAAAGUCACGGCUAACUACGUGCCAGCAGCCGCGGUAAUACGUAGGUGGCAAGCGUUGUCCGGAUUUAUUGGGCGUAAAGCGAGCGCAGGCGGAAGAAUAAGUCUGAUGUGAAAGCCCUCGGCUUAACCGAGGAACUGCAUCGGAAACUGUUUUUCUUGAGUGCAGAAGAGGAGAGUGGAACUCCAUGUGUAGCGGUGGAAUGCGUAGAUAUAUGGAAGAACACCAGUGGCGAAGGCGGCUCUCUGGUCUGCAACUGACGCUGAGGCUCGAAAGCAUGGGUAGUGAACAGGAUUAGAUACCCUGGUAGUCCAUGCC
rnacentral:rRNA from 1 species